rnacentral:rRNA from 1 species
UACGUAGGUGACAAGCGUUGUCCGGAUUUACUGGGCGUAAAGAGCGCGCAGGCGGUCGUUCAAGUCGAGUGUGAAAGCCCCCGGCUCAACUGGGGAGGGUCACUCGAUACUGAUCGACUCGAAGGCAGGAGAGGGUAGUGGAAUUCCCGGUGCAGUGGUGAAAUGCGUAGAUAUCGGGAGGAACACCAGUGGCGAAGGCGACUACCUGGCCUGUUCUUGACGCUGAGGCGCGAAAGCUAGGGGAGCAAACGGG